rnacentral:misc_RNA from 1 species
GAUGAAGAACGUAGCGAAAUGCGAUAAGUAAUGUGAAUUGCAGAAUUCAGUGAAUCAUCGUAUCUUUGAACGCACAUUGCGCCCGCCAGUAUUCUGGCGGGCAUGCCUGUUCGAGCGUCAUUUCAACCAUCAAGCCCCCGGCUUGUGUUGGGGACCUGCGGCUGCCGCAGGCCCUGAAAAGCAGUGGCGGGCUCGCUGUCACACCGAGCGUAGUAGCAUACAUCUCGCUCUGGGCGUGCUGCGGGUUCCGGCCGUUAAACCACCUUCAUAACCCAAGGUUGACCUCGGAUCAGGUAGGAAGACCCGCUGAACUUAAGCAUAUCAAUAAGCGGAGGA